GCGGUUCACUAUAUGAGAAUCUGUUCCCUCUUGAUUAUGAUUAAUUAGCUGUUCAAGCUUCAAACAAAAGCUAAAGUCCUGCCAAAAGGUCUCGGCCUGAAACGUCGACUGUACUCUUUUCCAUAGAUGCUGCCUGGCCUGCUGAGUUCCUCCAGCAUUUUGCGAGUGUUGCUCGGAUUUCCAACAUCUGCAGGUCUUUGGCCUCCCCUUGUGCCAAGAUGAAGCUGUCUCCCAAUUUACAACGGGUCUCACCAAUGUAGAUGGAGGCUGCUUCAGGAGAACUGGACACAAUUGAAGAUCCCAG